rnacentral:lncRNA from 1 species
AUUGCAGAUACUGAAAAGGUCUUGCAGUUUGUAUGAGAACUGUGAUGCCUGGAAAUUUCUGCUUUAAUGUGAGAAGCAUGGGGCACAGAGGUGCAGAGCAGUGCUAGACGCCCCUGCACGCCAGCGUCAUUGUGGUGGUCACAGGUGAACUCUGGAGUCACUCAGUCUUGCCAGCUCUAUCUCAUGCUCCCUAUGACAAUGGGGCCACUUACCUCAUCCUCAUCUGCUUCACCUGCCACACACAGAUCACAGAUCAGAGCCAAGUCUGUUAUCUGAAGAGAGGCAUGGCUGGGCUGCUCAGAAGCUCCUUGUCACCUGGGAAACAUCCUCCUGCUACAGCCUCCUCCCGCC